AUUGAACGCUGGCGGCAUGCCUUACACAUGCAAGUCGAACGGCAGCACGGGAGCAAUCCUGGUGGCGAGUGGCGAACGGGUGAGUAAUAUAUCGGAACGUGCCCAGUCGUGGGGGAUAACGCAGCGAAAGCUGUGCUAAUACCGCAUACGAUCUAUGGAUGAAAGCGGGGGAUCGCAAGACCUCGCGCGAUUGGAGCGGCUGAUAUCAGAUUAGCUAGUUGGUGGGGUAAAGGCCUACCAAGGCGACGAUCUGUAGCUGGUCUGAGAGGACGACCAGCCACACUGGAACUGAGACACGGUCCAGACUCCUACGGGAGGCAGCAGUGGGGAAUUUUGGACAAUGGGCGCAAGCCUGAUCCAGCAAUGCCGCGUGCAGGAUGAAGGCCUUCGGGUUGUAAACUGCUUUUGUACGGAGCGAAAGGUUUCUCUUAAUACGAGGAGCUCAUGACGGUACCGUAAGAAUAAGCACCGGCUAACUACG
rnacentral:rRNA from 1 species